GGCGCGGGGCGGGCGGGGGCCCGGGGCGCGCGCGCGGUGCACCUGGCGGCGCUGCCCGAGCGCUACGAGCCGCUGGAGGAGCCGGCGCCCGGCGGGAGGCCCGCGAGGAGGUACCGGCAGAAGCUGAAGAAGUGUGGCAAGAACGUCGGGAAGGUGGUCAUCAAAGGCUGCCGCUACGUGGUCCUGGGCCUGCAGGGCUUCGCCGCGGCCUACUCCGCCCCAUUCGGGGUGGCCACCAGCGUGGUCUCGUUCGUCCGCUAACGGAGCUGCGCGGCCGGCCGGGCCCCGACGUACCCCAAGGAUGGGAGCCCCGCGGAUCCAGGACCAUCUCCGACCUGAACCCACCAAAUCCUCGCAGGAAAACAAUGUCUCUCUUUGCUGAACUUGGAUGAGUGCUGUGAACGGGACGUCCCUGCCCAUCCGCUGAGCUUUGCACGACUCCAGGACACAGGUGGCUCCGAUGGACAAUCCCGCAGAGAGUUAGGCCCCUAAUUCUGGUUUGGUAGCACCGGAGCCUUCAGAGGGGCGGGGGGGAGGGUGGGGGGGAGGCAUCGAGGCAGACACCUGACAGAUGGAAGCACUCUGGGGGGGUCGCCGAGCAGUGCUUACAAGCCGGGAGAAGGGAUUUAGACCUGGACUAAGAUGAUCUGUUAUGUUCUGGAAAGAUCACAGGCUGAUACAGUGCUCAGCGCUCCCGGCCCCGGCUGCCUCGGUUCUGGGGGCAGCAAUGGAGCUGCUCGUCUGUCGUGCGCCCCAUCUCCUUCCUCCACCCCGUUGUUGCCCGGAGUUUAAUUAUGGGCUUGAGAAGAAGGAAGGAAGGAAAAUCUCUUUGAAGGUUGUGAUGCUUUGAAAACUGUGAUGAUGCCGUGUGACUGUGGAAAGCAGAUAAAGCUUGUGAUUCCCACCCCCACCCCGGGCCCCGAAUGUGCAGCUGGCGGUGAGGGAAGCGGGGAGCUCAGGCACAGGCUGCUGGGCUGGAGAGGGUGCUUGGAGGAGUCGCCCCCGUCGUGCCCAGUCCGGCCCAGUCCGGCUGGGGGUUGGGAGCUGCCCGCCUGUGGCUGGCUGCUGGGGGGGCCACUGUCGCCUGCUCCUGCCAGCUGUUGGCCGCCUCUCCACCAAGCCACCAAAGGUGCUCUGUCUUGGGAGAGAGGGAGACACUACGUCUGGCAAGGAGAGUGUGUGAUUUAGAGAAGGACCCAGUAAGUAGGAGAUUGAGGUGCUGGAAGUUGAAACGAGAAAGUUGAUGGGAGGAGAAGAGGAAGUAUGGGCGCCAGGCCUGGUUUAUCAGCCCUGGAAACUCUUAGGUGACUGGGUUUUUGGCUCCAGGUGGGGACCAGGGACGCUGGGUGGCUGCAGGUGCCAUGGCUGGUGCUUAAAACACCCCUGAGGCCCAUGAGGCCUCACUGGCUGCCUUGGUGGCAUCCUUCCUCUUUGGUGCUGCCAACCUUUGUCCCCAUCUCACUUGGAUUCAGAGGCUGGUGCCUCACGGGUCCUGGGCUGGAUGCUCCCCCCCAGAUGACCCAGGGACUGCCACUGGACCAUUCAUUGGCAAGGGAGGUGAAAGAACAAGGGGGCUCCUCUUACCACACCCCGCCGCCAACCCCCAUGAGAGGCCCCGUCCCCCCAUUUCCAGAAUAUCCAGAAGUCUGGAUAGUCGUUGCUGAUCAGUCUGCAGGGUAGGUGGCAACACCUGCGUGUUGCCCCAAGAAGUUUCCUGGGCCUUGCCCAGGAGGCCUCAGGGCUGCUGCCUCGCCAGUCAGGCCAACCAGCUGGCACCAGGGAGUGGAGAAGGUAGGAAAGACAGACAGAUGGACAAGAAAAAGGCACCCCCCGUGUAGGAGAAAGUGGUAGCGAGGCGCUCUGGAGGCCCAUGUCGAAGAUGAACUUGGAUCCCGUUCUGCAUCAUCAAUAUUUGUGGGGAAAAGAGAAAACAGAUGGUCUUGUUUUAACUCAAAUGAUCAAAGUCGAUAGUGGCACAUUUUCACAAGAUAAUUACAGCUUGCCUGGCCACACUGGGACUUGGGGGAAGGGGGGGGUGUUGGAAAGAGACCUCAGUGGAAGAAAAAGCCAAGCAUAGUUUAGUGGGAGAGCAGGGCCUGGGCAGCCACCGGAGGUGGGAGAUGGGAGACGGGAGGAAGGGGCUCAGGGUGGGCUUGGAGGAUGAUGCGGACCCACCCCGGAGAAGCCCCCUGAGUGCCCAGAGGGAUGGAAAAAUGACCAGGGAAGGUACUGGAGCUGCCAAGGCCUGGCCCAUGGAGACCUUCCCCGCCCCACCCCCAAAUUGGAGACACUAUCAGCCCCUAAAAUCCGAGUAGUCUGAUUAGGAAUUAACCUAGAAGUUUCACCAGUCGGAGCCUUGCGGGGAUUGUCCCGGGAGCCAGAUUCACAUGUUCAGUGAUGAGCUUGUCCGCAGGGUCACUGGGUGCUCGUUUCCCCGCCGACAGGACCUGCAGGUUGCAGAUUACCUUUUUGCCUUUUUCUCUGUCUUCAGUUUUUGAUUUUUUAAAAAUGUCCGGAUCCGUGCCCUACUGAGGAUUGAGGUUUAGAGCUUUGCCUUUAGCGCUUGACCAAGAGGCUCCUUUUGUAUCCUUUGCUUGCCCUAUGAUGUAAAUAAAACCCUCAAUUUGUACAAUG